rnacentral:tRNA from 1 species
GCCCUGGUCGUUCAGUUGUUUAGAAUGCCAGCCUGUCACGCUGGAGGUCGAGGGUUCGAGCCCCUUCCAGGUCGCCA